UUCUACAGCCAUACCACCCUGAACGCACGUGAUCUCAUCUGAACUCAGAAGCUAACCAGGGUCAGGCCUGGUUGGUACUUGGUUGGGACAAUCCAUCUGGUCCCUAUUAGGAAAUAUUUUUCAGUAGAUA
rnacentral:rRNA from 1 species